rnacentral:lncRNA from 1 species
UUUUUUUUUUUUUUUUUUUUUUCAGCUUAACUACAUGUUUUUGUACCUGUUUUGGCUGCAGUGUUCAGAGGUUUGUGUUGUGGGUCCAAGCAGUCCUGUCUGGAUGUGAAGCAGCUGAAGAGGUUGAUGCUGAAGGCUGUUCUCACCCCUUGAGAGGAGUCCAGCCUCUUCUAAAGAUCAGAGCCUGCCCAGACUCAGCUGUGUUUGUCUAUUAACAGAUGAGAUUACAGCUCUGAGAUGAGGUCCUGCUUAUGCCCCAUUAAAGAUUUACACAUAAAAUACAUGUACACAGAAGAUUUGAGGUGUUUCAGGUACUGAGUGUAUCAGCUUCCUCUCCUGAACUGAGUCAAGGACGGUUAUCUGCAAAUGAAGCUGAGGCAGCUGCACAGCUGCUGCAUCUCAAAGUUUGAGUUGCUUACUGUUGCCACCUCUCUUUUGCUGGGUACAGCUUGGCACAUUCAAGGUCAGCCUUUCUCAUUCUCACAGUGCAUGUGUGGUUGUGAGCAUUUGCAUCUGAUUCCUCUGGUGCUGAGACCUGUCCAGGGGUGCUACAUGUCUAAUCUUAAAAUAGAUCUACCAGAUGUUUAGUAUCUGAGUGCAGUGUGAUUAUUUAGUGAGGAUUAUAUUUCUUUAAGUUUUAAACAGUAAUGCAGUUGUGCUGUGUUUUUAAUUAUGUGUUCAUUUCAAUGAGUGCAGCCAGUGCUGCAGUGGUGGAAGGCAGUGUUUUUGAAUCCAUGUGAUGCAUCACCACCACGUGCUUGGUGCCUUGCUACUGGCCUGAUCUUGUGAGGUGUUCAUCACAGUCCAAAAAUAAAACUUGCUCACAAUGUGAUGUAUGGAAUAGUCUUACAGGGGAAGGUAAGGGAGAGUUUUAUUGCUUGUAUCACUUGACAUUGGGACUGAAUGGAAACUGGAAUAUAUUAUGCCACAGCAAUAGCCUUUCAGAUUGCCUCUAGGUUUGCAGGAAGCAAUUACAAACAUUUAUAAUUCACUAUAUAGCUUUCUUUUCUUCAUUUCAUUAGCUUAGUUCCAUAGAAUUUCUUUUGUUUGGUGAAGGCCAAGUAAUCCCAAAGGGUAAAGGAUUUUAUUGGAAAAACUUGCUCAUAUUUCUGUCUAACUCUGAUGUUCUGUUAAAAGGUUAUAUUAAUAAACAAAUUAUUGCUAUAAACAAAUUAAAUUCCAGCACCUUACUACACAGACCCAGCAUUUCACUGCAAUCAGUUUGAGCUACAGCUAGGCCUCUUGCCUGAGGCUGCAAUGCUCCUACUAAAAAGCAAUUGGUCACACCUCAUUAUUGAGGUUAUUUGCAAUAGUGUGCGAAGGACCAAGUAACAGAUGUUUUGAAAUGGCUAAUCAAUUUUUAUAGAUUUAAUUAGGUUGAUGCCUGCACAUAUUUCCAAUGUGCUUUUCCACCAAAGCUAGGGAGAGGAUCUUAAUUUCAAAUUCAGCCAAACCUUUGUGAGGCUCAGGCUUCAAUGUUAGAGCAUAAGUAUUACUUGCAUGCUAUUGUGAUAUUCUAUGUUGGCCACUUACACUGGAGAUUCUUGUCUAUGAACUUCACUCUUAGAAAGUUACAUUUGGACUUAGAUGUAUGACACUUGUUGUUUGGAGUGACACACACAAAUCCCCAUACACCAGAAUGAAAAUUCAGCCCUAAUCAUCAAAGGGAAGUGAGGACUAAAUGAAUGUGUCAUGCAUAUCCAAUUUCUCCACUGAUCAUCCAGAGAAAAUAAAUCACAGUGGAUGUCCUUCCAUUUCUUAUUUCUUUCAAAAGCUAGAAGGAGUUCUCUGUUAAAGUCACCCUGGGUUUCCCCAGGGAAUACUAAAAUAAAUUAAUAUUGUCUGAUUGAAUGUUUUGACCCAUAUUUAAACCACUGGAAAAUGAUAGGCCUAUUUUAUCAUGGCAGCAGGCCAGCUUUUUUUUUUUUUUUUUUUUUUUUUUUUUUUUUUUUUUUGGUGUGCUACUGGAAUCAGAGGAUAAAACUGGAGGAUCACAUCUUAACUGAACUAAUAACCAAUUUAAUUCAUUUUUAAUAUGUCUUUUUCCUUUGUAACUGUACUUUUCCAGAUAGAUUUCUCAUGUAUCAAUCACUCAACAAUGUCUAUUAUCCAUUUAUGCUAAGAUCUGUCAUCUUCCUGUUAUACAUCAGAAAAAGACUGCGAAAGUGAUCCACAGAAAGGAAAAGAGAUAAAAAUGGGGAAAGGCAUUGCAGAAAGGUCUGGCUUGAUUAACUGGAAAAUUUUAAAUGGCACACAUUGCAGAUAGGUAUUCAAGUCACAUUGAUUUCAAUGAGAAUAAGACAUCUUACAGUCCCUCAUCUCUCUGAAAUGUUCCCUUGCACCCUAAGGCAAUUUAAUUUGGAAAGAAUUGCUGGAAGAAAUAUGAUAGGUGUAUAAAAUGAGCAGUAUAAAAAGCAUGCUGCCACAGCAAGGGCAGUGCCCUGAGAUUCAGAACCUGCUCAGAAGUUAAUUGGAAAGACCUCUGUUGACUUAAAUAAGCUCUGGAUCAGCCCUUGUGUGAGCUACUUUCAACACCCAGGUCUACCACAAUUUUUUUGAAUGGCUCAAAGCAAGUCAUUCAGAGCCAUAUCCAGAAAGGGAGCCAGAUAUUGUAAUGGGAUUUCUCCAAGGGAAGAGAGUGUGAAAGGUUCUCUGUGCAGCCUCACACUAAGGCUCUUUUCUGAAAUGUGUUAUGAGCUGCUAACGUAAAAAAAAAAAAAGAACAGUAUUUAACCUGUGGUGCUUACAGUUGUAGGAUGUUGUCCAGACAAUUUUAAAACAUUUAAAAUAUUAGCAUUAAGCAUUUAGGAUUUAUAAACAGCAUCUGUAAUCAGAUUAGUUUUGAUAAAAUGUCACCAAUCCUCAUGUUUCCUAGCAUAAACUCACCACGAGCUGGAAUAAUGAAGCAGAUACCUCAAAGGAAGAAUAUGUUACUGUUAAGCAAUUUAUUGUAUCAUUUACAUAGUUUGUUAUCCAGCCUUUAUAGGGAUGGAAGGAGGAUCUAUUCUAACUGCCUGGAGAAAGACAGGGCUCUCUAUAACUUAUGUAACUGGGGCCAUUCCCUUGAGGUGAUGGAGGUUCCUGGUGAGUUCUGGACUCUACAGACCCAAUGGGCUGGGUCUCACUGGCUGCUCUAACCCCUCACAAACUCUAGCAGUGUUUUUGGUGCAAUCAAAAAGGCUCUGCAAGAAAAGGAGCUGGGCAGUGAAAUGAGAUCAGCUCAGAUGGUCAGAGCAUGGUGUUAAUAACACCAAGGCUGUGGAUUCAAUCCCUGUAUAGGCUAUUCACUUAAGAAUUGGACUUUUAAUACUUUGCCCUCUAAUCAUAUCCUAGGAAAGGACAGACAGUUUAGCUGGAGAUAUUAAAAAAGCUCAUCUGGAAGCAAACAUUUCAGCCAAAUAAUGCUUCUGAUCAUUGUUCAAAUUCCAUUUUGUUUAUGCUUAACCCAAAUCAACUUUUCUGUAAAUAUUUUGAGAAAUAAAGGAAUUUGUUUUAUGUUUACGUGUUUACUCCAAAAAAAAAAAAAAAAAAAA